GUGGGAAUGGAGUGUCAUGGUCAUCUGCAGCUCGGCAGUGGCUAAGAGAGUAUGAAAGUCUCUGACAAAAGGAGAGCGAAGGGAGGAAAAUUAUCCUUAAACUCUUCCUUCUGGGUAUCCCUGCUGUCCUCCUCACCAAUGGCGUUAUUUAGUGCAAUAUUUUUAAUGUUGGGCUUGAAUCUCAAUCAGGUAGGAAAUGGAGUCAAAAGGUAAGUGCUUGCUUAUCUUUAGAUUUCAGCCUGGAGGUGCAGCUUCUCCACCUUUUUUGUAUUUCUCUUUUUUUCCAUGUCUUUCUCUAGCCUCUCGAGUGGCAGAUGUAGUUACUGUUCAAAGGAAAUGUCAGCAGGUCAUUUAACAACUUUCCCUCUCCUCCAAGGGCUUGACUCUUAAUUAUACAUGGAAAGAUACACAAGAGAUUACAACAAGAGCAAUAGCAGCCAGCCAAAACCAAACUGAUUUAUUUAUAGCAUGUGACAUAUGGCAACAUAAGACAAGAUCUCUGGCUUAUGGGCAUUUUGGCAAGACAUGGGCUGGAUCCUAUGGCAACGCCUUGCAUUUGUGCAGCUCCCGUUUCUGCUGCUCUGUCCUGUUUUCUUCUUUCAUGUGUCAUCUGUAGGUCUUCAAAGAGAGGAUCCCAAUCUUCCUUGGCCAGUUUUGACAUGGACAUUGCUUAGACACAUGCCCACAGCUGUCUCCAGGAUGAUGAAGGCUUCAUUCAGAACAGACGUAAAUACAUUUUUGGUGGCAUGACUCAUCGCUGAACUUUUAACUGUAUACAUUUUUAGUCAUGACUGUGUUAAGAUUACAGUAAAGUUAUAUGGUAUUUCUUCUGUUCUUCGAGAUUUUGGCAAAUUUAACUACCAUUUACAUAUCUACAUUCUCUGUGUACACAAACUUACUGCUGUAUGACCUAGACAUAUAUGCUGUAGCGUACAAACUGCACUUUUUUUAACCUUCCCUAAACAGGUUAUGUGGAGAUCAGUGACUGUUAGCAACAAAAACUCACAAGUCUUUAAAAUUU
rnacentral:lncRNA from 1 species